rnacentral:misc_RNA from 1 species
GAUGAAGAACGUAGCGAAAUGCGAUACUUGGUGUGAAUUGCAGAAUCCCGUGAACCAUCGAGUCUUUGAACGCAAGUUGCGCCCGAAGCCACUAGGCCGAGGGCACGCCUGCCUGGGCGUCACACGCCGUUGCCCCCCCAUCUACUCCUUCGGGAUUGCGGGGGGGCGGAUGAUAGCCUCCCGUGCGCCUAGCCGCGCGGUUGGCAUAAAUACCAAGUCCUCGGCGACGCACGCCACGACAAUCGGUGGUUGCGAAACCUCGGUUGCCCGUCGUGUGCGUUCGUCGCGCAUCGAGGGCUCGAAAAAAUGCUCGGCUCCGGCUGGGCUUUCAACGCGACCCCAGGUCAGGCGGGGUUACCCGCUGAAUUUAAGCAUAUCAAUAAGCGGAGGA